rnacentral:rRNA from 1 species
UACGGGGGGAGCAAGCGUUGUUCGGAUUUACUGGGCGUAAAGGGCGCGUAGGCGGUCGUGACAAGUCACUUGUGAAAUCUCCGGGCUUAACCCGGAGCGGCCAAGUGAUACUGUUGUGCUAGAGUGCGGAAGGGGCUACUGGAAUUCUCGGUGUAGCGGUGAAAUGCGUAGAUAUCGAGAGGAACACCUGCGGCGAAGGCGGGUAGCUGGGCCGACACUGACGCUGAGGCGCGAAAGCCAGGGGAGCGAACGGG